GGAGGAAUAUUGGGCAAUGGACGAAAGUCUGACCCAGCAACGCCGCGUGAAGGAUGAAGGCCUUCGGGUCGUAAACUUCUUUUGAGGGAGACGAGCAAGGACGGUAUCCCUCGAAUAAGCCACGGCUAACUACGUGCCAGCAGCCGCGGUAAAACGUAGGUGGCGAGCGUUAUCCGGAUUCAUUGGGCGUAAAGAGCUUGUAGGUGGUGCGAUAAGUUGGACGUGAAAACUCCGGGCUUAACUUGGAGAGGCCGUUCAAUACUGUUGUGCUAGAGGGCGUCAGAGGGAAGUGGAAUUCCUGGUGUAGCAGUGAAAUGCGUAGAUAUCAGGAGGAACACCCGUGGCGAAGGCGGCUUCCUGGGACGUACCUGACACUGAGAAGCGAAAGCUAGGGGAGCA
rnacentral:rRNA from 1 species